UCAAAAGAGGAGAGAAUUUUAGGAAGCAGUUUGGAGGAGUUAUAUGCUGCUGCAAAAAAGGUUAAGAAAGAUAAGAAGAGAAAUUGUGCAAUUUGAUCUGGUGGUGAGUUGUCAACUACUGACCCUGGAGUGACUCAGGUAGAGGAGUGAAGACAUAUGCCUCUUUGGAAAGACUCAAAGAGCAUAGGAGGAACCAGAAAAGAGAUCCACAAUGGCCCACAUAAAAGAGUGUUGGUAAAGUGAAGGCAAAACCCUGCAAUCUUGUCAAGAUUGAGCUUUGCUUAUUUGUUUGCAAGGAUCUGGAAGAACGGAUAAUAUAUAUGGGAAGAUGGGAUGAGACAAAGAAUAAGGAGAGAAACUAAAGUGGAAAGAAGAGGGAGAAAUAAUUGAUAGGGCAAGGUUCUGGAAAACUCUGAAAGGUUCUUUCGCACUACAACACUUAGGAUUUCUCAAGUACUGGGAGGAAAAGGACAGACAUUUCAUCAACUAAAAUGCUAAAUAAUUAGCAUGGUGACCACUAAACCUGGAGAGGUCUCAUUGUGAAACAAUCGGACGUGCAAAAGUAAAGCAAAUAAGCUCACUGCUUUAUAAAAGGGUUUGAGAGAUCCGGGGAUGCACAGUUGGCAUUCUCAAUGUAAGUAUGAAAAGGACCUCAGUUGUAAGAACUCCUUUACUAUCCUUAUUCUUUCCUUAUUAUGUAGUCUGGUCUUGGUCUUUAUGUAAGCCAUCCAUCUUUGGUAAUUUAUCUGUAUCACCAUGACUUAACCCUUUCAUAUUCUAUUGUACCGUGUUGGAAGUUUUAGCAGUAAAACAGAUCUAGCCUCACUUGAACAGUGACCUAAAACCUUUCUUCAGAUUUACUUAAUAUAUAUCUGAUGACCCCAGAAGAUUGUUUUACAGUUGUUAAUGCACGAUGGGUACUUGAUAAAUAUUGCAGACUCGUUACACAGAUAAACAUGCAAUUUUCAAAUUAUAAACUUGUAAGAUGUAAGAGUCAAUACAACCAGGGCUAUAAAUUGAGUUAUGUAAACUCAACUUCCAUUUAGCAGUAGAAAUACGUAUGCUAAAUUAUAACUGAAAUUUCCACUCCAUUAAAUGAGACAGGGCCAAGUUGCAGGGCUCACCCAUGAUGGCAAAUUCUAUGGCACUAGGACCCAUCACAUAAUUAAAAACGAGGAUGCAAAAAUUACUGCAAUAACAUUGACAAGAUACUUUUCUUUUAAGUGACCAUGUAUAUAUUGUAGAAACCAAUUUUUCAAAGUAUCUCCUAAUUGAUUCUACAAGUUUUCACCAUAAAACUAUAAAUUGCUGCUGCUGCUAUAAAUAUGGCAGAAGACAGUUAAGCUUGUCUUUGAACACAAAGGUUGACUGAAUGCAGAUAUGCAGAGGGUUUUAUUCCUCUUUGAAAUAUCCUGCUACAUGCAGCAAACACUAUCAGAAAACAUGUAUUAUUCAUUCUCAUCAUAGCCUGGUAUACUUUUAGAGUUUGCUAUGCGUUCACAUCAUUAUUUAUUUGCACUUAACGGGUGGUCCUUUCAAAAGCACUGGUUGUAGCGUUCUAAGUUAUUACUUUAUGUGAUUCACCUGCUCUUUUAGUCAAUAAUGCUAGUAAGUAAACCACAACCAGCUCAGGAAAUGCAAGCUGCUGAGGUCACUGCUGAACCACUCCUGUUCUCCACAGACCCAGGAAACUAAUGUCUUACCCCCACAACUAAUUUAGAACCCUCAA